ACCUCCAACUGGUAGAUUCUGAUUGGUGGAGUCUCAAUGUUGAUUCUCUUGAGUCUUGAACCUCCUGUUGCAACUCGACACUCGUAUGUUCCAGCGUCGUUGCUGCUCACGUUCUUCAGAAUUAAAGACACGUCUCCGUCCUUCAGCUCUCUGUCCACCAGCUGCACCCGGUCCUUAAAGGAUGGAUGCUGCUGUUCAGAAACUGAA